rnacentral:hammerhead_ribozyme from 1 species
AGUCGAAACUGGGGCACAAUGCCUCAGUCUGCCGGAUCUGACCGCCCGGCACUGAUGAGACAGGUCAAA